rnacentral:rRNA from 1 species
CCUACGGGAGGCAGCAGUGAGGAAUAUUGGUCAAUGGGCGGGAGCCUGAACCAGCCAAGUCGCGUGUAGGAAGAAGGUACUUAGUAUUUUAAACUUCUUUUGUCGGGGAACAAAGGCGGAGACGCGUCUCCGGAUGAGUGUACCCGAAGAAAAAGCAUCGGCUAACGCCGUGCCAGCAGCCGCGGUAAUACGGCGGAUGCGAGCGUUAUCCGGAUUUAUUGGGGUUAAAGGGUGCGCAGGCGGGAGAUAAAGUCAGCGGGAAAAUGUCGGGGCUCAACCCCGGCCGGCCGUUGAAACUGGGUGUCUAGAGUUGGAGAGAGGUAUGCGGAAUUCGUGGUGUAGCGGUGAAAUGCAUAGAGAUCACGAAGAACUCCGAUUGCGAAGGCAGCAUACCGGCUCCAUACUGACGCUGAGGCACGAAAGCGUGGGGAGCGAACAGGAUUAGAUACCCGAGUAGUC